GGAUUCAUAGCUCAGUGGUAGAGCAUUUGACUACAAAUGAAGAGGUCAUUAGUUCAAACUUGGUUUCA
rnacentral:tRNA from 1 species